rnacentral:rRNA from 1 species
UACGUAGGGUCCGAGCGUUGUCCGGAGUUACUGGGCGUAAAGCGCGCGCAGGCGGCGGUGUUGGCCCGGCGUGAAAGCCCCCGGCUCAACCGGGGAGGGUCGUCGGGGACCGCACCGCUUGAGGGCGGUAGGGGCUGGUGGAAUGCCUGGUGUAGUGGUGAAAUGCGUAGAGAUCAGGCGGAACACCCGUAGCGAAGGCGGCCAGCUGGGCCGUCCCUGACGCUGAGGCGCGAAGGCGUGGGGAGCGAACGGG